ACACUCCUCCGGGAGGCAGCAGUGGGGAAUUUUGGACAAUGGGCGAAAGCCUGAUCCAGCAAUGCCGCGUGAGUGAAGAAGGCCUUCGGGUUGUAAAGCUCUUUUGUCAGGGAAGAAACGGUGAAAGCUAAUAUCUUUUGCUAAUGACGGUACCUGAAGAAUAAGCACCGGCUAACUACGUGCCAGCAGCCGCGGUAAUACGUAGGGUGCAAGCGUUAAUCGGAAUUACUGGGCGUAAAGCGUGCGCAGGCGGUUUUGUAAGUCUGAUGUGAAAUCCCCGGGCUCAACCUGGGAAUUGCAUUGGAGACUGCAAGGCUAGAAUCUGGCAGAGGGGGGUAGAAUUCCACGUGUAGCAGUGAAAUGCGUAGAUAUGUGGAGGAACACCGAUGGCGAAGGCAGCCCCCUGGGUCAAGAUUGACGCUCAUGCACGAAAGCGUGGGGAGCAAACAGGAUUAGAUACCCCUGUAGUCCCAUG
rnacentral:rRNA from 1 species